rnacentral:lncRNA from 1 species
AAAUGAAUGUGAUUUUGAAUACCCUAUUAACAGUGUCGGUCUAGUCGGAUAUAGUUGACAUGUCAUAGGAAUUGGAAGUAUUGGGAUAUUCCGACAUUGAGUCGAUGAGACACUAUGUGUCGACUACUGUUAAAGUUCCGGAUUUGUUCCGAUGAAGUACUUUGUGUACUAUAAUGUUAAAGUUCCGGAUUUGUUCCGAUGAAGCACUAUGUGCUUAUCCCGGAGUGUGGGUUGGAUCCGUGUAUCCGUUAGUGUCCGAGUUAUGUUAAUAAGCGUAAAUAAAGUAAAG